AUACUGGACUUGACACAGAUGAACAAUUAAAGUGGAAAGCGCUUCCCUUUUCUCCUCUGUGGCAGUUACAAUUUUGACUUCAGGCCUGAGAAAAACUUCAGCUUGGAAACCAAUCUGGCAACCUCGACUAAGGCUUUCCCCACUCAAGACCUCCUCAUCUCCCCUGUACGUGCAGCUCGCCUUGGAAUGAAUGCCUCACCACCUUACAGGCUAGAGGACCACACUUCCUCCCAUCCCAUCCCCAAAAGGCUACGGCAGAUGGCUUGAUCUGAAGGGAAAUACACAACUGUGUUUAUUUUAAAAUACAUUAAAAAGCAAAACCAGGGCAGUUUGGUGCUAUAACAAAUAAUUACAUAUAGGCACACAGAAACUGGGUUCUCAGAGGACACAGGCCAGGGCCCCCACGUUGCUGACGUACGUGUUUGGGUCACACUUGCCUACCAGCUCAUUGCCAUCUAGUGCAGUAACCCUGGGUUAGUCUUGUAGAGGAAAGGUGAGUCAAUUCCUAGGUUGCCAUCACAAAACUCCAGUGGACGCCCUAAGGCAGUGGUGUAACUCCAUAAAACGCACACAGAUGUCUUUAAUACAAGUUGCUUCAGGCCAGUGAGACUGCAGUUUAUUUGACUAUCUUAUGGUAGGGGAAGAGGCUGAGCGUCGCUGUGAAGGCCCUGAUGUCAGUAAUGGGGGUGGUGGACUCUGCCAGGAGAGGAGAGGGUGGCAGGUAGAUUAGCUGCAUCCCUUCACGAGAAUUCGGAUCCUCACAAACGGGAGCGCCGUCCUCUUCCAGUUC
rnacentral:lncRNA from 1 species